rnacentral:rRNA from 1 species
UACGAAGGGGGCUAGCGUUGCUCGGAAUUACUGGGCGUAAAGGGCGCGUAGGCGGAUUAACAAGUUGGGGGUGAAAGCCCGGGGCUCAACCUCGGAAUUGCCUUCAAAACUGUUAAUCUGGAGUAUGGUAGAGGUAAGUGGAACUCCGAGUGUAGAGGUGAAAUUCGUAGAUAUUCGGAAGAACACCAGUGGCGAAGGCGACUUACUGGACCAUUACUGACGCUGAGGCGCGAAAGCGUGGGGAGCAAACAGG